CUUCGACACAAUGAGCCUUUGGGGUACACACGGGAUCCCAAACAUAGCAGAUCGUUAUUUAAAAAAAUUUUUUGUUGUUGUUGUUUUUUUGAGACAGAGUCUCACUAUGUAGUCCCAGGCUAGCCUUGAACUCAUGGCGAUCCUCCUGCCUCAGCCUCCCAAGUGUUGGGAUUACAGACAUGCACCAUCAUACCUAGCUCAAGAUCUUCACUCUUCAAAGGAUCUCCACUCUUCAACCUUCAAAGGAGGUUGGGUGAGUGAUGGAGUCAGGCCCAGCUGGGGUCUGGUUUGCCUGUUGCUACCAUUGGGCUUAUUUAAUGCCCUUGAUUUUUUUUUUUUUUUUGGUACCAGGGAUUGAAUUUGGGACCUUGCUCUUUGAGGCAGGCAGCAGAACCACUGGGCUAAACUCACCCCCCCCACUUUAAUGCCCUUGAGACAUGCCUGAGGAGGGAGCUUUAGUCAUUGGUAAUCUUUGUGAGGCUGGUCCCAAGUGGCUUUGUCUGGGAAGGGUGGGGCAGUUCUCUGGUCCUGGAGUGCCCUCCUCAGUUCAGACUGUGACCUUAUAGGACUGACCUUCGUAUCUUCUUUUUGGAGAUACUUUCCCUGAUGAAAGACCAAACAAGGAAAAAACACUGUGGGCAAGCAGGAGCAUAUACCUGUCAGGCAGGGUGGCUGUGCUCCAGGGAAGCGAGCCCUUUGGUCCCUCUCCCAGGAGCCUGGGUCCUGAGGUCCCCUCUCUGCCCUGGGUUGGGGGUAAGCCUCACUGAGUUCACACUGGAUGCCCACCCAGGGCUGCCUCCCUCUACCCAUCCCACUGGGCUCAGGAGGAAGUGUCUCGGAAAGACAAGGACAUCUCAACAGGAAGCCUCCAGUACCCUGAGCCUACAAUCAUCCGGGACUCCGGCAGAGCCUCAGUGACUGAGACGCCUCCGAUUGGAGGGAUGGCCCCCAUGGGAGCAUGAAUAACCUGGCCGGCUGUAGCACCCCG
rnacentral:lncRNA from 1 species